AAGCAAGCCCAAAACAAACUUGUUAGUAUCCAUAAAAUGAAGCCCUACAUUCAUGGAUUGCUGUCAACUAUCUGGCAAUGCAUGAUGACAUGAAACCUUAGGCCUUACUAUUCAAUAGCCCACAACCUAAAUUAACUUAUAGCUUUAAAAUAAAUGGACAUUGAUUUGAGUAGCUAUAGAAAGCUCCCAAUUCUUGCUUGAUAAUGUUGUAAACUUGCAGCCCUUUAUUUGUUUUCAGGUGGUUGUUGACAAUGGGAAAUCUGAACGAAUAACUGUGGUUGACAAUUCUGCAUCAUUGUCAUCACAGCAUGCAAUUACAGAGUACCGAGUGAUUGCAUCAUCAUCACAAGGUUACACAUGGUUGGAGCUGUCCCCUUUAACUGGUAGAAAACACCAGCUUCGAGUGCACUGUGCCGAGGUGUUAGGUACACCAAUAGUUGGGGACUACAAGUAUGGAUGGCAAGCUCACAGGAAGUGGGGAGGUUUUGAUUUGUCAAAUGUGGAGGACUCAUGUGAAGAGCUUCUCAAGGAAGAAACACUCCCCUUUGGCCUUAAUUUGAACAAUGGGAGCAUAUCUGAGAACCAUCCUCGUUUACAUCUUCAUUGCAAGCAAAUAGUCUUACCCAAUAUAUCUCAAGCACUGCAAAAUGUGCAAUCAUUUUCCAAUUGUGAUCUUUCACAAGUGGAAGGGCUUGAAUUGGUCGCGGAUUUGCCUCCAUACAUGCAAAGAAGUUGGGAUGUCACAAAUUGUUGAAUUAACGGUCUAUCUAUCUCAGCCUUUCUAAAUUAUAGUUCACUCGAUUUUGACAACGCAAAUUCUUCCGCUCGGGUUUCCUCAGAAUUCACCAGAUGUUGGUUUGAGCUUGUUGUCACAUCAUUUAGAAUUGCAUUUUUCCUAACCAUAAAGCAUUGCCGACUCUAUGUCAUGCUACUCUACAUGGCAGUGUCAUUUAAUUAAAUUCAGGUCAGUUGAUUCACAUGAAUUUAAACCAGUGAAAGAGAGAAUCAUCUGCCGCUUUGUAACAGUUCCUUCAAUCUUUAUUUGUCCUCAUAGCCACAUUAUGAUAA